rnacentral:sRNA from 1 species
UACGUUUCGCUUCGAGUGCCGCCAGCC